GAGACGACUCGUGGGUAACCCUAGCGCCGCCGCCGCGUUCCCCCUCAUGUCGCUUCCCUCCACCGCCGCCAAAGGGGCUCUGUGGCAAGGGUGCACGGUUCCGAUGAAGUUUGUGGGGAUCUGGCGACUCCAUCCUAUAUAUAUGGAGGACCUCGGCUCCCGGUGCGGCGACCUCGAUUGGUGGCGUACGGCGCGGCGUUGGCCGUGGGUGGUGCCAUCGGGUGCACGUGGGUGCUCUUUCACAGCUAUGCGGGCGGCAAGAAGGCUAUAGAAGUUGGCGAUGCGGCGGGUCCUCGCAAGUCUACAGGAGUUCCUUGGAGAAACCUCGUCUCCGAUUCGAUCUACUCCGAUCUAUGGUGACGCUCGCCUUGCCAACUGCGGUUGUCGUCUGCCGGUGUUGGCUGGACGGAUCUAGCGGAUGGGCGUGGAUCCGGGGGUAACCCUUGGCCAGCGUGGCGGCCUCCCCAAAGGCGAUGCCUCGAAGCGCCAACCACCUUCCUCGAGGCUUUGGUUUGGAUCCUCUCCCUUCGACCUCCUCCCUAAGCUUAGGUGAAAUCCUAUGUUCCUCGGCUUUGGGCCACGAUGACACCUUGGUGUCAUCCUCUAUCCCAAAGGCAUCGGCUGAUAAGUCUUUUUUUUUUGAAUCAUCUAACAAGUCUUAUUUUGAAAUAGCUUGAUGUUAUCAAAUGAUUCCUCUUAUUAUCGAGCUAAGAUGUGCAUGGGUGCACAUGGAUAUUGCUAACAGAAUUGGAUGGUCGUCCACCCAAGAAGUCUAAGACUGAGGGGAAAAGGCCUGCUCCUUCUCUUCUUGUUUAUACAAGUUCUGCUGCAUCAGCAUCUAAAGGACGAAGAAGAGACGAGUCAGCAUCUAAAGGUGACAGUUUGGCAGGUAACCAAGAAGAAGCUUGGUAAAAAAGAUUGGUAAGCAAAAUCAGUUCCGCCCCGAUGUUCAACAAGAGCAAUGGUGAAAACUAUCCUGGCAGAGUUCUCACCAAGGUUCAGAGAAGGCCAUUGCACACACACAAAAAAAAGGGGUUCAGUCUCUCUCUCUAAAAAAAAAGGGGGGUUCAGAGAAGGCCGGGAUUAACGUCGCACAGGCGUCCAGUAACUUAAGAGGGAGAAGGAAGACGCCAUGGACAGGGCUCGGAGGUUCAAAUACGAGAGGCCCUUUUCGCCCUAAAGGCAAUGAAACACACUGAUGUCUAUGCCUCAUACUUCAUGUGAUCAUCCCAGACAAGUUCGAGGACAAAUUCCAACCCAAGGACAGCAGGAACAUGAUGCUGUGGGACCCGCAGACGAAGCAGUCGAAGGCAUGGUACGACGGAGUACACCGGCGGCGAGUGUCACUGUCCCUGUGCGCUCUCUCCAUGGAGAACAACCCGGUGAAGUGUACGUGUGCGUCUUCGAGCUUCUGGACCAGGAAUGCAACGUCAAGCUGCACGUCCACGGGGUGGGAGGUCACCCCCAUGCGUCACCGCCAGGGCCAAACCCUGCCACACACGAGUGAUAGUUUGUGUGUACUGUACCUGGAAUUACCCCCAAACCCUGCCACAGACGUGUCCGGUAUAGUGUCGUUGUUAAGACAAAAAACAUUUGAA